CCGUAGCCAUUUUGGCUUAAG
rnacentral:sRNA from 1 species